UAACACAGAACCCAGGGGACUUCAUGGCAUCCUACAGCAGAACUUCCGAGUGACCUCAGAAGAACCUGUUGUGCUCACGUCCUCCCACUUUUUGGAGAACAGAGUUUCUCUUACAAAGCUGAGCCAAAAUACAGGGACCUCAAUUCUAGCCAUGGCUUUGAAGCUGCUCCACUGGAAAACUUGGGAGCCUCAUGCUGUGUGUGGUUCCUGGAGCUGGGUUUGGCACCCCAAAACACCCUGCUUGCUGAGCCAUGCCUGCCUCCUCUUGUGGGGAUGCCUCCAGUCUCAGGAAGUACAAGAGGAAAGCUGGAAUGGAGACCAUAGCACCUGAAUUUUCC
rnacentral:lncRNA from 1 species